rnacentral:lncRNA from 1 species
AGCCAACCAUAAUACCAACAAAUCGCCUCAACCCACCAGCCGCCAACCCGACCCGACCCAGCCUUUUCUCCCUUAACAGCUUCCAAGUAACAUCAUCCAACAAUACAACAUUACCCAAAAUUUCAAUGCCAAAAACCCGCCGACAACAUCAACUCCAAAACACCAACGACAGCAAUGGCAAAAACAGCUCAGCACCUCAUCUCAAUUUUUAAAAUUUAAAUUUCAAAUUUUUUUUCCUUUUUUACCCCUCCGUUCCCCUCCAAAACAACCCAAAAUUCUUCUAUAAAUAUCCACCCAUGUAGAGAAAUAAGGAGAGGAUUUUUAGGAAAAAAUUGAGGAUUCGGGAGGCGUGUGCUUCUAAUCCUAAUCCUACGUAACCAAAAGUUCUCGAAGAAACAUACUCAAAAAUUCGAUUCGAUAGAAAUUAAAUUUUGAAGAUUCGGAAUUUAAACUCCAAUUGAAAGUCGUCCAUUCGUCAUCCCGAUUCGCUGCUUCGAAACCGGUAAGGACUUCAUUCUCUUUGCAUUUAUCUUCACUUUUAUUUUUAUGUAUUUGGAAAUUGUAAUUGCAAAUUGAAUACUGUGUUGUCAUUUCGAUCCUUCGUUGGGCUUAACAAGUUAUACGAUUUGUCAGACGGGUUUAUAUUGGAAUAUAUGUGUAUUUGGUGUGUAUCGGAAUUGAAAGUAAAAUUGAUCAUUGAAAUGGAUUGAAAAGCUCGAAGCUUUUAACAGAUUGUGCCAUGUUUGAUUAUCAUCUUAAGUCUGUGUUACUCUUUUUCCCACUUGUAAAAGGUUGAAAAUUGCUUUAAAUUUUUCAUGAAUUCCUAAGUACUAAAUUUUAAUAGUAUUAUCUGUACAGACAAUGUGUAACUCCAGUGGCUUCCUAUUUUAUUCAGUUUAUUUUUCUCUUUUAUAUAGAAAUAAAUUCAUAAGUAGAUUGUGAUUAUACUAUGUUUAAGUCCGGUUCUUGGUUUUUCUUUUGGUUCCAUUUUGGAAUAAAAUAAUUUUAUCUUUGCUAGCCUUUGAAAUAAAAAUAUGUAUACAUGUAUGUAUGUUUUACUCAAUGUUUCAAAUGAGUCUAGUUAUAAGAUUUGUUAUGUUCACUUAAUUUUGUUCCCGUAAAAUAGCAGGUUCUUAAGGUUAGUUGCCACACUUGAAUAAAAAUCCUUAGCACCUCCAAUUUUGUGAUGAAUAUGUGUUAUCAUUAACAUGUUGAUGCUCAUUUCAUUAUUUCUCCUUGGCCUAGGUCGCGUAAGCCCUUUUAGUGGAUCUAUUUAAUAAAUAAUAUGUUCCUCCUUACUUUACUUUCCUCUAAGAACCUAGUUAAUGUUUUGUUGUUAUUUGGUUCAUUUUACUGUUGGGUUCCAAGGAAUUAAUGGUUUUUUUGCUCUUUAUACAAGAUAUGUAUAAUUAUUCAAAAUCCAAAAUGUUAGCAGUAGGCUUCUGUCCCCAUAAUUUAAAUAUCGUGUAUAUUAGGACAUGAUCUUGCCAUAUAGUCUGAGAGGUUGGUUUCAUCAUGCUUUUCUUUGUCUGAACAUUGUGCCUUUUUACAUGGAUUAACUCUUUUGGUUUCAUUUUCUUCUUCGUCUGUGCGGACACUAAUAGUAGAACUAUCUAUCUUCCAUGAAAUUCUAAAUGUAUUUGCUAUCUUGAUUAAGUUGUUUCGGAUGUUGAUUUAAAUGUUAAAAUUAACAUCAGUCGUCCUCUUGACGUGUUAUUAAUUGUUUGUUUUUUCUUUUUUUGCAUGAACCCAUCUUGAACGAGUCCAAUGGGACUCCCCAUAUCGUUUCAUUCGCCCACAUUAUCUCGAGUCAAGCCUUAAAGUCCAAAACUGGACUGAUAUAUAUGGGAUAUACACUUAGAUACAGUUGGUGUACACUGGAAAGCAGCUGAUAAUGGCGUAUAUUAAAAGUGGAAGCGAGCAUACAAGGUUUAUACACAGAUAUACAACGCGUAUACAGAAACGCGGCAGCAAUAGGCUGAUAUACAGUCAGUAUACAACUGAUAUACACUUCAGAAAAUGGAAUUCAAGCCCAAAACUGGGCAGCUUCAUUAAUGGGCCAAUUGAGGGCCCAAUUUUAAUUCUCCCAUCAUUUUUUGUAGCUUGUAUUGUUUAUUUGUGCUAACUAAUAUUUAAAUUAAUUAAUCUAGAUAAAUUUCCUAAGGUGUGGUCAUUUUAUUUUAUCUUAGUUUUCUUGUAUUUAAUUCAUUACUUUUUCACCUAAUUUAUAUCGUUUAAAGGCGGAUUAAAUUGUUUCCUUCGAUUUUCUCCGUAAUAAAUCUUUUAAACGUGAAUAGUUUAUUUUAAUACGAUAUUUAUUUUGUUCAUAUGACUAAUAGUCUAUUUGGAUUAAAUUAAUUUUCUUCAAACUUAAUAAACUAAAUUUUCUUAUAAAUUUCAACCUUUUAUAAUUAAUAAAGGUUUUUAAUUCAACACUCUCUUAACAUUUUUUCAAAGUUAUUAUCUAUAAUAUAAUCAACUUUUUCUAUAACGAUUAAUAAUAAGAAAAUAACUCCAUAAUUUUCUUCUUUUACGAAAUUAAAAUUCAUUUCCCUUUUAAUCCGAAAAACUACAACUUAGUUUAAUUCAAACAGUUUUUUUUUCUUUUGAAUAAAUAAAUGUCAUUUUUCAAUGUUUAAAUGAAUGUUUUUAAUAUAUAUUUUUUGUAUAUAUAUAAAAUCAAGUCUUUGCAAAAUUAGCCACUUUAUUUAGUCAAGUUAGUUCUUUUUGGUACACCGUUUUUAAACGGACGAUUCUAAGUGUCUUAAAAACCUUCUUAGGGCGUUAAUUGAACCCUUACCCAUUAUCUCUAGUUUUAAAAGUUUAUUUCUGUUUGUGAACCGUUGAAACUCUUUUAAGUUUUCUUGAUUUUUCUAUUAAAAUCAAGUGGCGACUCCGUAAAUUUCUUAAAAUUAUUUCGAAAUCUUUUCAAAUCUGUUGAAAUAGUUUUAAAGAAGGUCAAAACCAUUUCUCUCACCAAAUGAAACCCGAAAGGGAUAAAACAGAAAUGACGACUUCACUAGGGAUUUAUCUAGGUUCUAACCAAAAAGAAACUUUCUAACUUAUUGUGGCUGAUUAUUACGUGUUUAUUUGUUUAAAUUUCAUAUAAACUGGCAUUUCGUUUAUAUUUCCUCCACUUCAAAAAAUUGACACUCACACACAUUGUACACACGGAUUGUACAUUGUACUUUUUCAAAAUUCUUUCAAAGCACCUAUUUUGAGAGAGUCGGCACAUACGUGGGUUAAGUGGGAGUUUUACUACCAUGGGACCACGUGCCUUCUCAUAUAGGAAAUCCAAGUCCGUGUCUAUUCAGAUCUUAGCAAAACUUAAGAUAGAGCGAUGCCACCCUUGAUCUAGACCAUGCAUGCAUAAACCAUAGGUGGUUUGACCCAAGGUGUCAUCCCACGAAUUUAGGAAACGCCCUUAUGUCAAAUGGAUUCACGACCCAAUGAUGAUCCUCAUAUUAUGUGCAUAGAUAACGAUAAAUUGAUCCAAGUCAAAAUUUGACCAAAUUGAGUUCGAAAAUCUAACUCCAAACUUGAGAAAUGUCAUUAAUUAAAGCUUGAAUUAAUUUAUCGAAAUCUCAAUUUGAUAUUUAGCACUAGGCUUACCUUUGGCUUGAAAGGUCCCACAUAUGCUAGGACGCGUAGUAAUUGUUUAUGCGCUAAAGUGUUUUAUUAUUUUUCUUUGUCUAUGUUUGCGUAUAUGUGUGUUUAAAGAACAUACGUUUAGCUUGAAACAAGACUAGUCCAUUAUUCCUAUUUCGAAAUACUAGAGUGAUAAUAAGCAUAUAAGACUCAAAAUUGGAACCUUCUAAAAUACCCUUAGAAGUUCAUUGAUAGAAUUCCUUCCAAUUUACCCAAUUAUGUUCGCAUUUCAUUAGGUUAUUAUCCAAUUCACAUUGAUCACGUUGUCCUCACAAUUUGCUUUUCCCAUAUUUAAUUAUAGUCAAAACUAUCCAGGCAUUCUAUUAAUAAGAAGACUAUGUUGUCUUUAAAGCUUUCGAAUAAGCCUUUUAUUAUGUUUAUUCAAAUCACUUAGUUCAUCUUGUUCAAAGUCCUAUUUUCCCAUCAAAUUCAAGAUCCUUCAAAUGAUCAAAGUUUUGAUCAUUCGACCAUUUUCUCAAGUUCCUAUUCUUCAAAUUCUGGACUUAGUUCGUUUCAAAUCAAAUAUAUGUCAUUUAUUUCGUAUAUUACUUUGGUCAAUCAUCACGAUCAUGAACUAACUUGUUAUUUUUUGAGUGUUUUUCUUUCCUUUUAGAGAAAGACUGAUUUAUGUUGGUAGUCAAAACUUGUUCGCUACACAAAGGCAAAGUAAUCGCUGGCAGAACAUCAGUAUUUCACACGGUCUAAGGUUAGGAAAGCAACUAUAGAUUCAUCAGCUCUUGCUUGGGCUAACAGAAGGACUCGUUCAACUAUGAAUCCUAGUCUGAUUAACACAAAUACUUUAUCUGAGUCAGUUCCCACCUUUUCUGUGGUAAUGGACCCGAGAGCCUCGAUAGGAAGGAAAAUAACCCAAAGCUCAUUGCCGAUUUGGAGCAACAAAUUGCCAACUAAGGCUCAUGGUGAUGCAAAGCGGAACACCUUCUCAGACUCCUCCAAAUAUGACUCUGCUUCCUGAUGCCUGACCAAAGGGACCUAUGUUUCCAAUGCCAAAAGAAGUUGAUCAGGAAGGUUAUUUUGCUCAUGUUUCUCAGAAUGCCCCUUCUGGGUACACAUUUGAUCAUCCAAAGGUUCAAACAUACCCUUACCCUACCAUGCUCCGCCAGUGUACACCUAUGAUGCUUCUCUGCCAGUGUCACAAACUCCAAGGUUAUACCGCUUAGAUGUUAAUCAUUAUGUUGAAACAAAAAAUGAUCUGAGACUGUGCACUGAUAAGACGGUAAACAGAAAGCUUAAGGUCUUGGAAGAUGCAAUGAGAAGCCUUCGAGGGCUUGGGAAUAACCAAAGUGUGAAGUAUGAAGAGUUGUGUGCAUUUUUUGAGAUUGAGUUGCCUCCUAGUUAUAAGAUUCCAAAGUUUGAUGGGCCCAAAAAUCCUUUCUUUCACUUGAAAACUUAUUAUGAAAAGUUGAUUAGUGUGGGCAAGAAUGAAGGAAUACGGGUCAAGCUAUUUAGUCAAAGUUUGAGUGGAAAGUCUCUAGAAUGGUAUGCCAAGUAAGAUGUGACUAAGUGGCACACUUGGGAUGACCUGACAAAUGCUUUUGCGGAUCACUACAAAUUUCAUAUCGAUAUUCCUGACAGGAUCUCUAUCACAAAACUAAGACAAAGGUCAAAUGAGAAUUUUCGCAAAUAUGUUAUACGUUGGAGAGAAGAGGCGACUAGGGUAAAUCCCCCAAUGAAAGAAACUGAGAUGAUCAGUUACUUCAUCCAUGCACUAAAUCCAGAAUAUUUUGAUCACAUGGUAACAAUGGCUGAAAAAAUAUUUAUUAUGAUUGAGGAUGGCCUCAAGAUAGGAAGGAUAAUAAAUUUUACAGAGCUGUAGUCCACUCAUUAAUACUUCCAUACUGGCUCUUUCGAAAAUGAGAAGAAAAAAGAGAAUGAAGUAAUGGGAGUAAUGACUCAAGAAAAUUCUUCCAAUUACAGGCAACCUCCUCGAUAUCAACCAAAUUCUUGACAUGUUCACUAUCUGGUCUUCAAUAUAUAAGCGACAUAUCAUGCUCAACCUCCACUACAAAACUAUCAAAAUAAUGCAUCUCGUGACAAUCCUGAAAGAAAGCCUCCCAGAAUUUUCAUGCCGCUGGCAGAAUCUCUUACUCAUUUUUUUGAAAGGUUGAAAGAUGCAAAACUAUUUCAUCCAGUUGAAGCAAAGCCUGUGAAUACUUUUCCUAAUUGGUAUGAUCCAAACAAGCGAUGUGCUUACCACUUUGGAGCUGUGGGACGUGCUAUAAAGAAAUGUAUCACUCUCAAGCAUAAAAUUUAGGAUCUGAUUGACAACAAGGUGAUAAUGCUUAAAGAAGCUCCGGCCAAUUUUAAUAACAAUCCAUUACUCAAUCACAAGGAGUAGUCAUUGACACCAUCAAGCAAAGAUGCACUUUUGACGUCCUUCUGUCCUGCAUUUGGAAGUUAUUAUUUUCUUUUCUUGUAAUCGUACUUCCUCAUUUCACUUUCUUGUAAUUGCAUUCUAUUGCUUUAUUUUCUUGUAAUCUCACUUUAUGAUUUGAUUUUCUAGUAAUCGCACCCUUUUAGCUGUAAUGAGCUACGUUCGACCUGAUUUCCCUUGUGGAAUACGUGUGCGACCUAUACUGACUUUGGUCACGUUAUCAAAAGUAUCAAAUAUCCUUUUUAUUUGUAUGAACUACGUUUGACUUGAAUUUCCAAGAAUGGGAUACGUAGGCGGCCUAUGUCAGCUUCGGUCAACCCCUUAGAAAACGUAUCCUUUUAUUGUAUGUAUGAACUACGUUUGACCUGAAUUCCCAAGAAAGAGAUACGUAGGCGGUCUAUGUCGGCUUUGGUCAACCCCAUAGAAGAUUUAUAUUCUCAUUCUAUGUUGGAACUACCUUUCCUACCUCAAUGGAAGCGUAGGCGCUACACUGGCUCGAUCGUAUUUUUCAUAAAAAUUUUAUAGAAACUAUGACAAAUUUUUUAUGAAGAUCUCAAAUUUCAUCAGAAGGAUCCUUCCCCAAGUUGAAUAAAAAUGACAUUGAAGUAUGUAACUAGGUCAGAAAUUUUUGAGAAGGUUUAAAAAAUUUCACAUGUGCUACAAAGUUGAAAAUCAGACGUACCUGAAGCUGAGAUUGGGGCAUAAUUUUGAAGUUCUCUAUAUUUAAAGUACUCUACAUCAUGAACAAUUCAAGUACUUUGCAUUUUAGACUGGGGAAGAAUUUUUGAGAAGAUCUUAAAAAUUUGAUACUCAUGAAUGUCAUAAGUUAUAAGAAAGUUCAAGUUUAUGUUAUAGACCGGGACAGAAUCUUUGAGGAGGACCUUAAAAAAUUCCAUAAAAGCUGUAUUUCGAGAUCAAAAAAGUUUGCAAAUCAAUGAUCAACAAGGUGCAUCAGAAGAACAAGACAAUACCAACACAGUCAGUCUCUCAAAAAUAAAAAAUUUUCUUUGGAUGUAGGAACAAUAAAGUCAGAAAAUUGACAACCUUAAGCAUGACAUAUGGCAUUAUCAUACCCACUGUCGCCUUGCCAUAAUAAUCCAGGCAAUUUCUAUCCUCCAUUUUCCUCUUGAUUUAUGUUUCUAUUACUUUGUCAUGAUCUCUAAACACUUUCUCUAAUUUUAUAGGGAAAUGAUAGGGCAUAGCGACGAAGAUAUGGAGAUAUUAUCCGAACUACUAUCUCUAAAUCAUCAUGAGUCAAACAACUUCAUCUUUAUCUUUAAACUUUACCCUUUUGUUACACUUAUAACAAAUUUUUGUAUUACUAAUGAGUAUUGUUUAAGUUAUACAGGUGAUGUUAUGCAAGACCACCUCAGAAAAAUGCAAAGUAUCCUCUCAAAGUUUGAGGAUUCAAACUAGAAGCUCAGGACAUGCACAAAUCCUUAAAGGACUUUCGAUUCAAAGGAUGCAGUUCAACGAAUCACAUCUUAUUUGGAUCAUUUACCCUUUCAAAAGGACACAUCUUAUAUUUGGGUUUUCACCUUUUAAGAAGAUAUAUUUGGGUCGUCGCCCCGUUCAAAGUGACAAAUUAUAUUCAAUAUUGAUCGUCCAUCCUUCAAUGAGACACGUUGGACCGUCACUUCAUUCAAAGUGACAUUUAUGUUCAAAAUGGGUCGUUCGCCCUUCAAUGAAACAUGUUAGACCGUCACUCUACUCAAAGUGGCAUGCUACAUUUUAAAUGGGUCGCCCGACCUUCAAUGAGACACGUUGUACCGUCACUUCAUUCAAAGUGGCAUGUUAUAUUCAAAAUGGGUCGUCCGUCCUUUAAUGAGACAUGUUGUACUGUCACUUCGUUCAAAGUAGCAUUUUAAAUGGGUCGUUCGUCCUUCAAUGAGAUACGUUGGAUCAUUACUCCGUCCAAAGUGGUGUGUUACAUUCAAGAUAAAUCAUUCAUUUUUUACUGGUGCAUAUUGGAUUGUCACCUUAUUUAAAGUGACAUAAUAUUUUCAGAACAGGUUCAACUAUCUCAGCAUGGCGUGUUCAAACAGGUUUGCACUAAUUCAUGCUUGUGUAACGUUACAUUUACAACUAAUCGUUUGUUUGAGUAGUUUUCGAGAGCAUAAAAAAGGAUGAAAUUCUCAAAUCAAAACCACAGGUGCAGACGACUCCAAAAAAGAUGCAACACAACCUGGAACUUUUUCUUAGCAGCGAACUGGAACAUAGUCUGAAGAGGGAUUAAAACUCAUUGGAUGCGAACUAAAGGACGACUUUAACCACACCCCUAUUAGAAGACAUAUGGGUAUUUCAGAAUAUUUUUUUGUCUUAGUUUUACCUCUGGGCCAAUUCUAAACUCGCACCUGAGGUAGUCUUUCCCUUCUUUGAAAAUCAGGUGACAACAAACCUAGAGCUUUGAAAAUUAUGUCCAUGCAGCUCCUAGUUACAUGUGUAAGGGGCCCCACAUUCGUGACUGAGAUAAACACAAGCCUCUUUUCCACAACUCGAUAUAUUUGUCAUUCAGUCUGAACCAAAGGUCUUCUAAAAUAAAAGACUAUCUUUUCUACCGAUCGAGUCGAACUACAGACAGUCUGAUUUCCUGAAUCAUUGGGAUAUGUAGGCUGGGCUCUAUAUAGAAAACUCGCCUGCAUUCCAACCUUCCCCCAAUCCUCUUAUUCCAUAGCUUUUCAAUUUCACCAAAAUUCAAAACUCGUAAUAGCUUGUGAAUUCUUUGAAGAUCGUGCUUUAUAAUUAAGUUUUAUGAACUACAAGUGGCCUGAAUUCUCAUGUAACCAGAGAUAUGUAAGAAGCUCGAUACCGGGGGUCCGGUAAUAACUCCGCAAAAAUAAUCGUGGCAGAACCAAUCUUUUUUGAGAGACGAAUUUGUGGUCGGACAAAAUUAGGGACGUCAAACUCCCUUUGCCCAGAGUUACUUGUGUCCACCAUAACCAAAGGGGGUAAUUGUUGACACCUAAAAUUUGCCCUCCACAUUCGAAAUUAGUUUUUGAAUUUCUCAAUUUUAUAUAGUUUAAAAAUAUUUAUUUUAAGUUAUUUUAAAAUAAAUUUCAACCCUACCUUUUGAAUUUAGGUGAAAUCAAUAUAUUUAGUGUUUAAUUAUACAUGAUUAUAUAAUUAUCAGUUAAAUAAAUUACUUUAAAAUUUAUUCAGUGUGAAAAGUUUGAUUAAAUUAUAAAUAUUCUACUUUUCUCAAGACAUUGAAAAUAAGAAAUUGAUGACAUAAUUAGUUUCUUAAUUUUUAUUUAUUAUUAUUAAUAUUAUUAUUAUUAUUAUUAUUAUCGAAAAAAUAAAAUAAAAUUGUUUUUUAUUAAAUAUUUAUUUUAAAAUUAUUAAAUUUGAGAAAUUCGUUAAAUUAAUUAAAAGAUAACUUCGUCUCAAUUUUGUCCAAUUAAUUCAAUUGUGGUCAUUUUUACUAAUAUAAAAUGUUACGAUUUUUAAUUGUACUCCCUUGAUUUACCUAAUCUUAAAACCCAUUUUCUUAAAAUCUUUUCCCCAUUUUUUUAAUUUGAAAAAAUUACAUAUAUACACAUGCUAACUUUGCCUUAUUACAUUACAUCCCAUGUUGAAAAAAGAAAUUAAAAAAAUCCCAAAUUAAUUACUUAAAUUCCUACCUUUUUUAUUUUCUUUCUCUUCCUUCUUAUACAUUCCAAACAACCAUAUUUUGCUCCAAAUUAUGCUCCAUAUUUUUCUCCUAAAAUCUUGUUACCUUUUCUCUCCAUUUAUUUAGUAUAUCAUCUAUGAUUAUGAGUAGCAGUUGUAAUUCCAAUUUUACCUUCCCUUCUUCCUCACCAUUUCACUUCUCCUUAACCACAGAUUCCACUUUCUCUACUCGAAAUUCAUAAACCCAAAAUUAUUUUUUUUCUUUUUCAAAAAAAAAAAAAAAUUAAACCGGAAUUAAUCAAAUAAACACUCUCAAUAACAAAAUAAAAUCAAAUUGAAAAAACCCUUUGAUUAUUAUUUUGUGAAAUUUUUUUUUUUAAUUUGAAUUUUUUAUUGAAGGAAUUUAUUAUGUAUGGAUCUUGAACAGUGAUGGUUUGGAAUGUAUUCAGAUUUGUGCGGCCCUUAGAGGACUGGAUCAAUUAUAAACUUGUUGGUGUUAGGCGUUGUGGGUGCUUAUUAUGCUGUCUUUUUGACCAAUUAUGGGGGACGAAACUAAAGCCAACGCCAAAGAAAAUAUUUACUGGGAUUUUCCCUUCACUUAUUUGUUAAUGAUUAAAACAACAUAUUACUAAUUAAUCUGACAUUAUAUUUUGAACACAUAAUAUGUUUUCUAUUAUGUACCUUUGCUUAUAAGUGAAUGUUACAUUGAACUAAAGAUUAAUACGUUUUAAACGUAUGUAUUACAUAGCAGCAUACAUGUUGUAAAACGUUUAUUACUUGUAAAAAAAUUACAAAAAUUAUUAAUAUCAUGCACAUUUAUAAUGUAUGAUGCUAUAUCAUACAUUGAUACGAAUGUAUAAUCAAAAUUAUACAUUCGUAAGUCUACUGGAAUGACACAGUUUCACUAUACAUUGCUUUGAAUGUAUGACAACUUAUUAUACAUUCAAACGUUUAUUGGAAAGACCCACAUUUAUUAAACAUUGAUUUGACUGUAUAAAAACAUAUUAUACAUUCGUAAAUUUACUGGAAUGAUAUUGUAUAUAAUUUCCUUUUUUUAAAAAAUUGAAUUCAGUUAAAUUUCGUUAUUGUAUUUCUAACCUCAUACAUGUUAAAAACGUAUAAUUUUAUAUCAUACAUUUAUUACACAUUAACUAUUAUUGUAAAAUAUUUUAAUACAUCGUGCGUUUCAACAAUUACUUACUCCUAUAGAGGGCAAGUUACAUAGUUAAUGUGCAUUUAUAAUCAUGUUCUAACUUCAAGUUAUAUAUAUGGUUACGAACUAUGAUAUAGGGAAAAAACAUAAAAUUUUUAUACUAAUAUAAAUCAUUGAUUAAAGAAAUUAACAUUUAUAAUCAAUAAAAAUAAUAUAUAUUACUUGCUCCAGCAUUCAAAAAAAAAAACUAAUAAAAAAGUGUUUAUACAACCAAAAUCAUUCAAAGCAUCCGCACAUUAAAAACCAUAUUAUAUUCUUCAUGAUUCCUUUAGAAAAAAACCGCAAGUCCUGCAGUUAUGACCAACUUGUCCGCAUUUACCGAAAUUACUAUUGCGUCACUUUUGUAUGACGUAUCAUUAAUUUCUGACUCUCAAAUUUCAGAAUGUCGCAACAAUACGGGGAUAUUCAUAUUGAUUUUACUAGUAUUGAAUAACAUAUAUAGAAGAAGAUUUUAGUAGUUUUGAAGAAUGGGUGUAGAAGAAAGUGAUUAUUUUUUGGCUUUUUAGAUCGUGAAUCACAGGAAAAAAAAUUAUGUAUAACAAAAUUUUUAAAAUUCAAAUAUCAGUUACAUGUUAUAUCAAUAAAUGACUUAAUGUUGACUAAUUACUGCCUUUAAUUAAGGAACUGCAAAAUAAUUACAGAUUUUUUUACCUUAAAUAUAGGAUUAGUUGUUACAUCAUACAUUCGACCAAUGUAUAAUAUAUGACCGAAUAUAUGAAUAUGUUUGCAAAAAAAGAAUGAGAGAAAAAAAUAAUAAGAAAUUUUAUGUAAUUAUUUUCAUUGUCUAGGGAAUUUAUGUUUACACUUCUAAUUUUUGGGUCAGCCACUCAAGCCCAAAACAAUAUCGACAUAACAACGAACAAACAGCAACCCACUUCCAUCCCAAAACCAGCCAACCAUAAUACCAACAAAUCGCCCCAGCCCACCAGCCGCCGACCCGACCCGACCCGAACCGACCCGACCCAGCCUUUUCUCCCUUUACAGCUUCCAAAUAACAACAUCCAGCAAUACAACAAUACAACAUUACCCAAAAUUUCAACGCCAAAAACCCGCCGACAACAACAUCAACUCCAAAAUACCAACAAUGGCAGAAACCGCUCAGCAUAUCUUCUCAAUUUUUAAAAUUUAAAUUUCAAAUCGUUUUUUCUUUUUAACCCCUCCGUUUUCCCCCAAAACAACCCAAAAUUCUUCUAUAAAUACUCACAUAUGUAGAGAAAUAGGGAGAGAAUUUUUGGGAAAAAAUUAAGGAUUCAGGAGGAGUGAGCUUCUAAUCCUAUGUAACCAAAAUUCAAUUCCGAUAGAAAUUAAUUUUCGAAGAUUCGGAAUUUAAACUCCGGCUGGAAGUCGUCCAUUCGUCGUCCCGAUUCGCUGCUCUGAAACCGAUAAGGACUUCAUUCUCUUUGCAUUUAUCUUCACUUUUAUUUUUAUGUAUUUGGAAAUUGUAAUUGCAAAUUGAAUACUGUGUUGUCAUUUCGAUCCUUCGUUGGGCUUAACAAGUUAUACGAUUCUUUUUUUGUCGUCCUCUUGACGUGUUAUUAAUUGUUUGUCUUUUCUUUUUUGGCAUGAACCCAUCUUGAACGAGUCCAAUGGGACUCCCCAUAUCGUUGCAUUCGCCCACAUUAUCUCGAGUCAAGCCUUAAAGUCCAAAACUGGACUGAUAUACAUGGGAUAUACACUUAGAUACAGUUGGUGUACACUGGAAAGCAGCUGAUAAUGGCGUAUAUUAAAAGUGGAAGCGAGCACACAAGGUUUAUACACAGAUAUACAGCGCGUAUACAGAAACGCAGCAGCAAUAGGCUGAUAUACAGUCAGUAUACAACUGAUAUACACUUCAGAAAAUGGAAUUCAAGCCCAAAACUGGGCAGCUUCAUUAAUGGGCCAAUUGAGGGCCCAAUUUUAAUUCUCCCAUCAUUUUUUGUAGCUUGUAUUGUUUAUUUGUGAUAACUAAUAUUUAAAUUAAUUAAUCUAGAUAAAUUUCCUGAGGUGUUGUCAUUUUAUUUUAUCUUAGUUUUCUUUUAUUUAAUUCAUGCCCUUUUCACCUAAUUUAUAUCGUUUAAAGACGGAUUAAAUUAUUUUCUUCGAUUUUCUCCAUAAUAAGUCUUUUAAAAGUGAGUAGUUUAUUUUAAUACAAUAUUUAUUUUGUUCAUAUGACUAAUAGUCUAUUUGGAUUAAAUUAAUUCUCUUCAAACUUAAUAAACUAAAUUUUCUUAUAAAUUUCAACUUUUCAUAAUUAAUAAAGGUUUUUAAUUCAACACUCUCUUAACAUUUUUU